rnacentral:rRNA from 1 species
UACAGAGGUCUCAAGCGUUGUUCGGAUUCAUUGGGCGUAAAGGGUGCGUAGGUGGCGCCGUAAGUCAGGUGUGAAAUUUCGGAGCUUAACUCCGAAACUGCAUUUGAUACUGCGGUGCUUGAGGACUGGAGAGGAGACUGGAAUACUUGGUGUAGCAGUGAAAUGCGUAGAUAUCAAGUGGAACACCAGUGGCGAAGGCGAGUCUCUGGACAUUUCCUGACGCUGAGGCACGAAAGCCAGGGGAGCAAACGGG